rnacentral:rRNA from 1 species
AGUGAACGCUGGCGGUAGGCCUAACACAUGCAAGUCGAACGGCAGCACAGUAAGAGCUUGCUCUUACGGGUGGCGAGUGGCGGACGGGUGAGGAAUACAUCGGAAUCUACUUUUUCGUGGGGGAUUACGUAGGGAAACUUACGCUAAUACCGCAUACGACCUACGGGUGAAAGCAGGGGAUCUUCGGACCUUGCGCGAUUGAAUGAGCCGAUGUCGGAUUAGCUAGUUGGCGGGGUAAAGGCCCACCAAGGCGACGAUCCGUAGCUGGUCUGAGAGGAUGAUCAGCCACACUGGAACUGGGACACGGUCCAGACUCCUACGGGAGGCAGCAGUGGGGAAUAUUGGACAAUGGGCGCAAGCCUGAUCCAGCCAUACCGCGUGGGUGAAGAAGGCCUUCGGGUUGUAAAGCCCUUUUGUUGGGAAAGAAAAGCAGCAGGUUAAUACCCCGCUGUUCUGACGGUACCCAAAGAAUAAGCACCGGCUAACUUCGUG